UUGGCGGUCGGGUCGAAGUUGCGGGUGACCACCAGGUAGUUCCGCAACGCGAUCGCGUGCAGGUUCUC
rfam:Mycobacterium rhodesiae JS60 ctg137, whole genome shotgun sequence.